CAGUCGCCGCGGUAAUACGAAGGGGGCUAGCGUUGUUCGGAAUCACUGGGCGUAAAGGGUGCGUAGGCGGGCGACUCAGUCAGGGGUGAAAUCCCGAGGCUCAACCUCGGAACUGCCUUUGAUACUGGUUGUCUUGAGUCCGGAAGAGGUGAGUGGAACUGCGAGUGUAGAGGUGAAAUUCGUAGAUAUUCGCAAGAACACCGGCGGCGAAGGCGGCUCACUGGUCCGGAACUGACGCUGAGGCACGACAGCGUGGGGAGCAAACAGGAUUAGAUACCCGCGUAGUCCCUGUCUCUUAUAC
rnacentral:rRNA from 1 species